GUUCGCCAUUCUGAAUACAGUGUUCGUGAUGGUGAGUUUGAACUCUGAGCAUUUGCUGAGUAGCAGUAGGCCAUUGUUGUUCAUUUUGCCCACACCGUGUUUGCCGAGUACUCCUUUCCAUCUAUCAUGGUCCUGGCCAACGUGGGCGUUGAAGUCUCCCAGUAGUAUCAGCUUGUCAUUUGUGGGCACUGAGUGCAGGACGGCACUCAGGUCAGAGUAGAACUGCUCGAUGGUCUCCUCUGUGCUGGUCAGUGUUGGGGCAUAUGCGCUGAUGAUUGUGGCAUACUGGUCUUUGCGGAGAGGUAAACAGAUCUUCAUGAGCCUCUCUCUGAUGCCCACAGGCAAGUCUGGCAGCUGUUUGAGCAAACUGGUCUUGAUGGCCAGGCCAACACCGUGGAUUCUGUCUUCAUUUGAGGCUCUACCUUUCCAGAAGAAGGUGUAUCCAGUGGUGGGUUCGCUGAGUGAUCCCUCUUCUGAGAGAUUGCUUCUGGAGAUUCUUGGUGUUUGGAGGGAGUGGCUGAGAUUCCUGCCUUGACUUGGAGGAGACUUUUCCCCUGGAUCCUGUAUUAGCUUGCUGGAUGAGUGGCUGAGAUUCCUGCCUUGACUUUGGAGGAGGCUGCGUUGGUGGAACUCUGGCUGAAGACACUACUGGGACUUCUGGCUGAGGAUUACUGGGAAAUCAAGAUGGAUAUCAGACUUGGGGAAGCCUUACCAAGGCUGAGCAGGACAUCAGAGCAACACUUAGGGUGGUAGGCUAUAUAAUUCUCUACCUUCUUACAUUUUCCCAUUUUCACUCUUUCACCUCUUUGUAAAUAAAGCUUCUAAAAGUCAUUUUGACUUAAGGUAU
rnacentral:lncRNA from 1 species